CCUACGGGGGGCAGCAGUGAGGAAUAUUGGUCAAUGGACGAGAGUCUGAACCAGCCAAGUAGCGUGAAGGAUGACGGCCCUAUGGGUUGUAAACUUCUUUUAUAUGGGAAUAAAGUGUUGAACGUGUGGGAUUUUGUAUGUACCAUAUGAAUAAGGAUCGGCUAACUCCGUGCCAGCAGCCGCGGUAAUACGGAGGAUUCGAGCGUUAUCCGGAUUUAUUGGGUUUAAAGGGUGCGUAGGUGGAUUGUUAAGUCAGUGGUGAAAGUUUGCGGCUCAACCGUAAAAUUGCAGUUGAAACUGGCAGUCUUGAGUACAGUAGAGGUAGGCGGAAUGCGUGGUGUAGCGGUGAAAUGCAUAGAUAUCACGAAGAACUACGAUUGCGAAGGCAGUUCACUGGACUGCAACUGACACUGAGGCUCGAAAGUGUGGGUAUCAAACAGGAUUAGAUACCCCAGUAGUC
rnacentral:rRNA from 1 species